CCCUGCCUUUUGUACACACCGCCCGUCGCACCUACCGAUUGAAUGGUCCGGUGAAGCCUCGGGAUGGUGGCGAGUUUCCUUCAUUGGGAAUUUGUCGCGAGAACUUGUCUCACCCUUAUCAUUUAGAG
rnacentral:rRNA from 1 species